UGGGGAAUAUUGGGCAAUGGGCGAAAGCCUGACCCAGCCACGCCGCGUGAGUGAUGAAGGCCUUCGGGUCGUAAAGCUCUGUGGGGAGGGACGAACAAGCUGGCGUCUAACAAGCGCUGGACCUGACGGUACCUCCUUAGCAAGCACCGGCUAACCAUGUGCCAGCAGCCGCGGUAAUACAUGGGGUGCAAACGUUGCUCGGAAUCAUUGGGCGUAAAGCGCACGUAGGCGGUCCACUAAGUCGGAUGUGAAAGCCCUCGGCUUAACCGAGGAAGUGCAUCCGAAACUGGCGGGCUUGAGUACGAAAGGGGGUCGCGGAAUUCCCGGUGUAGAGGUGAAAUUCGUAGAUAUCGGGAGGAACACCGGUGGCGAAGGCGGCGACCUGGGUCGAUACUGACGCUGAGGUGCGAAAGCGUGGGGAGCAAACAGGAUUAGAUACCCCCGUAGUCC
rnacentral:rRNA from 1 species